ensembl:lncRNA
AAAAUUUCUCGGGGUAGUUUGUUACAGCGUAAAAUAUGUCACUUCCUGUUGCCAGUAGGUGGCGCUAUGACUAUAACUGAAUAUGGGCAUGUCAAUCUGUUCAGGUCAGGAGUCUUAUCAAACAUGUGAAGUUUGGGGCAGAUUGGACAUUGUAUGUCUGAGUUAUAGCAACUUCAUUUUUCAUGGCGAAACAUCGAAAUUCGUCAGGCCGCCACGGACACGCCCUUCAACGAAAACUCAAGAUCUUCGCAAUUUAACAUCGCAAAGGCCUUUAGAUUAGGCAUACCAAAUUUGGUGUUGAUCUGAAAAAAUCUCUAGGAGGAGUUCGUUAAAAUACAAGGCAUGCAAAUGACAAAAAUGAUGCAAAAUUUGCUCAUAAAAUUAAAAAUAACCGACUUCCUGUUGGGUUUCGGAUAUUGCUCCAAGAGUCUUUUUUGUAGGUACUGAUGCUUUACAUAUGUGUGCCAAUUUUCGUGCAUGUACGUGAAACACAGCUGGAGGGCUGUUGAUUUUUUUACGAUAGGUGGCGCUAUCGAGGCAUUUUGCCACACCCGAUGGAAUAUUGGCC